GCUUUUUUUCUCGCCGGAAGUGGGAGCGUGCACCUACCUAGCUACGUACAUACCUAUGUAAGCUUCUUUUUCGACCAUUAACCAUGAAUGCCACCGGAUACGCCGGCAAGCCGGUAUGUGAUCGAGAAAAGUUUUCAAAAGGACAUUUGUGGUGAGCGAAUUAGCAUGAUCUUUGUUAUUGCAUGUCGUAUCAUUUCGAGAGAAUAAUAACGACGGCGAUGUGCGUUUUUAUUCCGUUUAAUUCUAAAG